AUCCUUUCGUAGUUCAUGAGCAUGAUGAUUGGGUGUUCCUGCCCAUGUGUGAGAUGCGCCACCCUCGAACCUUGUUACCAUGUCGACAUAUUACCCGACUGAUG
ensembl:snoRNA